GUGUGUGUGUGCGCCUAUUUGUAACUGCAGGAUGUAGGAGACUCAGGCUGCAAGAUGGUUCAUUUUGCUCAGAUCUGGGAAAAGGCUCCCGGAACAGGAUACUGAAGGACAGAAAGGCACUGACUACAAUGGCGUAUCCCCAUAGAGGAUUCUAGUAUUCAUCUCCAGAACACUGGGGCUUGAAUUUAUUAUUCAUUUAUUUAUUGUGGAAAAUCAACUGCUAUUUCUGAUCAGUCCAGUAACUGUGGUAAAAUUGUAGCUAUUUCACAUAGCUGUAUGGUGGAAAAUUUUAAGGCUUCUAUUUCAAAAAAAUGAGACUGAAGCAAGAAACUCAGUCUUUGGAACACUUGACAUAAAGAGAGACCCUCUACAUAAUAAAGCAGUGCUUCUCAUGCCUGCACCCCAGGUCAUUUGAAGACUUAGUGCUGAAGCUUAGCAGGCGCUCCUGACUGGCCCGUCGGUGGACUCCCCGAUGCUGUCAGGGAACGUUUCUGGCUACAGGUCACGUGAUACACUAUUGUGUGACCCUGUAUACUCAUGAAACAGGAACAUAGGGAGUUGACAGGAUUAUUAAAUCCACAGGCAGAGAUGAACUAAUGAUUCAGGCUUUGUCCCUCUGUCCUUCGUCCCCUCUUCUGUGUCCUCACAUACCAUGGGGGCGGAGAGUCCAUGUAAUUCUUUUAUUAAGGAUGGAGACUUCCCAAACCCCUUAAUUUUCUUCCCUACAAGUCUCAUUGGCCAGAGUGGUGUGACAUGCUGUUUCUUUAGCCAAUCACUUUCAAAAGCCACAGGAGUUACCAAGAAUAGCUCAGCCUAUCUCAAGAUCCUACAAUAGAUUUUGUUAUAACUGCUUCUAUCCUGGAGAUAAUUCUAUAUUCAAAACCCUGGUCUUAAUGGAAUAAUUCUUUAAUUUAAAAAAAGUAUAGUAAUUGCCUCUCCAAAUCUGUAGAUUCUUCAUGCAGAAUGUCAGCCAAAUGUAAAUUAAAAAAUACUAAAAAUUCUUAUGUCUCUACUGAACACAUACAGACUUCACUAUUCUUUCAUGAUUGUCUAAAUCAUUCAGUAUCACAAUGAUCUAAACACUGUUUACCCUGAAUUAGGUAGCAUGAGUUAGCCACAUGAAGUAUACAGAAAGAUGUGUUCAAGAUGCACACAAUGACAGUACCAUUUCUUAUUAGGAAAGCUAGCGUCUGCUUAUUUCAGGAUCUGAGGGGCUGGAGUGUCCUGUGACAGAUCCCCCAGGGGCUUGGAAGAACUCCUGCAUUUUAUAAUAUAGAACAUAUGCUUUAAAAAGAGGAAAAACAUCACCCAGCAUUGGGCACACACUUCAGUGUCAUUCUGUUAGACCCCAAAGUUUUGUAAGCAUAGCAACUUGUACAUAUUGUGUGGAUACAAACUAGAAUGUAGAAUAAUGUCUGUGGCACAGAGAACUCCCCCAGUCAGCACUGGAGAGCAGAUCCUCAUUCCUUACUUAUCCUAGGGCUUGGUGUCUCCUUCAUAGCCUGAUGUUCCGGAGCCCUCCUACAUAAACUUUCUUCCAGCCUUGGGUGAGUAUGCAGGAUGCACCGCCACAUGCCUCAGCCUGUCCUUAGCCUUGUUUCGUCCCUGUCAUCACUCCUGACGUUCUGUCUUCUCCACUCCCUUCUGUAGGACAUGGUCCCAUGUGGGGUCACAUCACUGAAGGGGGGCACAAAAAUCUUGGCAACAGUGAAAGUUUUCUGACUGCCUAAAGACCAAAAGUUAAUUCAAAAUCAAGUAUCUAAUGAGUCCAAAGUGUUUCUGACGUCACAAGACUUCCCUGCAACCUUGAAUCUGAACAUAUAUCAUGCUGUGCUGGACUGGCUGCUGUGAUAUGUAAUGCCACAUGCUACCUGAAGCCCUUCAGUUUGACAGUGAGACUGUGUGCUCUGACUGCCGAGCUUUUACUGUAUACACCAAGUUUCCUGUUUCUUAUAGAAGCUUAAUGUCAUAAAACAAAACCUUAUAAUAUUUUCCUUAGUAGUGACAGGUUACCUGGGAAGCGAACUGGAGAGGUGUCCCACUUUGGCUGGAGACUGGCGUCCAUUCUGGAGCACCUAGUACCUGUUCUGAAGGGGCUGACUGCUCUGCUGCUGCCUUGGAUAUCUGAGUUUCUGCAAAGGGCACAAGGUAUUUUGGAGCCGAGAAAGUGAAACAAGACAAUGUGAACGUGAGUGUUCCCAGAAUAAUACCUGGAGUUUUUAGUGACAUUUUCUCCCUUGUUUGUAAGAAGUAUUCCUACAACAUAAAUGCACAGGAGGUUUUCUUUAAAAAUUUUGACUCUCUCGUGUAGUGCUUCUGUUGUUGACAGUAACUCCAACUGCCUUUUGUUUGCUACUGAAGUUCAUACAACAGACUAUGAGCCAAAGUUAGUGAUGAACUGUUUUGAAAGAAUCUCCUAAAAUACACUUGUUUGUAAUGUGUCUUUCUUUUGUGUCUCAGGUGUGAAAUAAUUGGUAUUUUGUGCCCAAUUUGCCUUUUGUAGUGGGAUGUUAUCUACAGCAGCACUUCAGUGUCUUUGUUGGACACAUUUUGGAGCAGAAGUUCCCUGUGUUGCAGUGAGCAAGACUCCUGGAGGCAAGACUUUGCACAUCAUGUCUGUUCUUUUUUCAGACAUCGUGAAAAAACAUCUAAUGUUCCUUUUAGGGCAGAAAAAUCCCAUUAUAAACGUAACAGUUAAUAAAAUCGAUAUUAUCCUCA